UACGUAGGGUGCGAGCGUUGUCCGGAAUUAUUGGGCGUAAAGGGCGCGUAGGCGGCCUUGUAAGUCAAAGGUGAAAUCCCUCGGCUCAACUGAGGAACUGCCUUUGAAACUGCAAGGCUUGAGGCCGGGAGGGGGUAGCGGAAUUCCCAAUGUAGCGGUGAAAUGCGUAGAUAUUGGGAGGAACACCAGUGGCGAAGGCGGCUACCUGGACCGGUUCUGACGCUGAGGCGCGAAAGCGUGGGUAGCAAACAGG
rnacentral:rRNA from 1 species